AUUGGUCAUGCUCAUGAGCAGUAUAUAUGCACUUGGUUGGUUCGUUGUUGGCAGUUUAGCUACACAAACUGACUGACAUUGCACAAUAAAAUGUAGCAGAUUUGCUAGCAAUCCUUCUUUCUCUCGUAUAGAAGUACAUGCUAUCUAACGUGAGCAAAAUCAUUGCGUAACUACAGGUACAUCAUAUGACUAAUUUACACAGAAUACUGAUACUCGACCCCAUGCAUUCAGUUUCAGAACUUGAAACUAAUUAACCUGUGGAAACUAACCUGACUAGUAGCUUCUCUGGCUUCCAGUUUACAACUUCUAGGAUAUCAAUCAUUCAUUCUCAAGUUGCUGCUGGCAGCUACAAGUCGCCUUUUUCUGGAAUUUUCAUGUUCUUUUUUUGUGUGUAUAUGCCUUCCUCUUCGAUUUCGAGAUUGUGAUUGAGGUCAAUUGAUGGUGGUGGUUGUGCGAUGCAGAUGUUCGGGAUGGUGGAGAAGGAGAUGGAGUACCGGGUCGAGCUUUUCAACCGGCAAAUUUGGGGCUGAGGAAAGAAGACGAGGAGCAACUUCUCUCUGGUCUGGUCGUUGGAACUUCAGGACAAGGUGAAGGUUUUCAAAUGUUGAAGGAGGAGGACAAUAGGAACUUCUGUGAUGUCUUGUCAUCUAUUUUCUUUUCUUUGUUGUAGAAUAGUUCUGUUUGGCACUUACUGGUUGGAUGUAAAGAUAUGUACUGCUAGAAUGAAUGCAUGUAAAGAUAUUUUGGGCUCCUAUAAUAUUUCAUGUUGCUUUGAAAAUGUAUCGGAACUGGGCUAGGCCCAAGAUAACUUGUAGUGUGAUGUGUUGUAAUGUCAAUGGCAUAAUAAAAGAAGUUGGAUUGGAUCAAUUAUUUCGGCCCA